UACGAAGGGGGCGAGCGUUGUUCGGAAUUACUGGGCGUAAAGGGCGCGUAGGCGGCCGAUCAAGUCAGAUGUGAAAGUCCUGGGCUUAACCUGGGGACUGCAUUUGAUACUGAUUGGCUUGAAUGCAGGAGAGGAUAGCGGAAUUCCCAGUGUAGAGGUGAAAUUCGUAGAUAUUGGGAAGAACACCGGUGGCGAAGGCGGCUAUCUGGACUGUGAUUGACGCUGGAGGCGACGAAAGCCGUGGGGAGCAAACAGG
rnacentral:rRNA from 1 species